rnacentral:tRNA from 1 species
UCCCAUGUGGCUCAGUUGGUAGAGCAUGGUGCUUGCGAUGUUAAGGUUGUGGGUUCAAUUCCCACGGGGGAC